CCUUCGGGUCGUAAAGCUCUUUAGGUUGGGAAGAAGGUUGUGGGGGGAAAUACCUGCAAUUUGACUGUACCGACAGAAUAAGCACCGGCAAACUCUGUGC
rnacentral:rRNA from 1 species